AAGAGCAAACCCGGGGAACUGAAACAUCUAAGUACCCGGAGGAAAGGAAAUCAAUUGAUACUCCCCUAGUAGCGGCGAGCGAACGGGGACCAGCCGAGCCUUGAGCGUGACUAGAAUGUGCUGGAAAGCACAGCCAUAGCGGGUGACAGCCCCGUAUAGGAAGCGUGAUGGGACGUAUUAAGUAGGGCGGGACACGUGAAAUCCUGUCUGAAGAUCGGAGGACCACCUUCGAAGGCUAAGUACUCCUUACUGACCGAUAGUGAACCAGUACCGUGAGGGAAAGGUGAAAAGCACCCCGACGAGGGGAGUGAAACAGUUUCUGAAACCGGACGCCUACAAGCAGUCGGAGCCGCCUUGCGCGGUGACGGCGUACCUUUUGUAUAAUGGGUCAGCGACUUAUUUUCAGUGGCGAGCUUAA
rnacentral:rRNA from 1 species